rnacentral:rRNA from 1 species
UACGUAGGGACCAAGCGUUGUUCGGAUUUACUGGGCGUAAAGGGCGCGUAGGCGGCGUGACAAGUCACUUGUGAAAUCUCCGGGCUUAACUCGGAACGGUCAAGUGAUACUGUUGUGCUAGAGUACAGAAGGGGCAAUCGGAAUUCUUGGUGUAGCGGUGAAGUGCGUAGAUAUCAAGAGGAACACCAGAGGCGAAGGCGGAUUGCUGGGCUGAUACUGACGCUGAGGCGCGAAAGCUAGGGUAGCAAACGGG